rnacentral:lncRNA from 1 species
ACAAUAACCCUUUGGUUUUUUGAUUAGUUGUAUUGAUUUCUUCAUUCAAAUUCAACCAUUAAUAUUAAAUUAGCUUGUCUAAGGUGGAGUUCUUAACCUAGCUUGUAGUAUUCUCAUGUUUUGUUGAAGGGAGACCAACAGAGCAUUUUUGCUAUUGGGAUCUAUAUCGAGACAACACUAUUCUGCACAUUACUUUAUUUGUUGUGCGUCACUGCCACAGGCGAGAAAACACGUUACCUGUUCAAAAUAAGAAGUGUUAGACCAACAAAAUGCUAAAUUCUCUUUCCAUUUAGGCUAGUUCUACCUUCUCUUUUGCGAUGAAGAUGUACCUACUUCGAUUUGAGGAUGUAAUAUUCCCCAGAGGACGACACCGCUUCGUGGUUUGUUGUGGCUGAUGGGCAAGGACAGAAAUGCCCCAUCACUUUCCUCAAUGACAGCUAGCUACAGCUUCGACGUAGAGCUGGCCAUGCAUGAAAUGGUUGAGAAAAGCAAGAACCUGCGCUUUUGCAGUCCCCUAUAUUAAGCAAGCUGAAAAGAUGUUACCCAACAGGCCAUCGGCCAUAUCUUUCCGUUACAAAUUGGCUCCAAAACUGUGAGGUAAACUUUUAAAAAAAUCUCAUAAUACUUGAUCCAAUGGGUUUGUUGGUCUAACUCUUCCUAUUUUUUUACAAAAUAAGAAGAGUUAGAUCAACAAAAUGCUUGUUAGGCAGUUCUGGAGUCGAGGACGCUUAGACACCUCAGAGUGAAGGUUGAUGAUAGCAAUCGCAACAAUCGAAGGGUUUGAGACAACGAAAACUGGCAGAGCUGAAUUUCGGACAACCAUCCUCCAUGGAAUUAACCUGCAGGUAGCAGUCGGUUUGCGAUGGUCCAAGGCCCAUAAUAUAGACCACGAUCUGCAGCUCUCGCGAUGCGCAUCCAGUGAGAGUCCUGGAAAUUAGGUGGUUCCCUUUCCAUGUGAAUCCUCGAGCAGCAACUGACAGCAAAUUAAUCACAAGUCCACGUGAGUCUGCAUCUUGCGGGGUCUUCCAUGGCGGUUCGGAGGCUCUUCUGGGAAC